rnacentral:rRNA from 1 species
UACGUAGGGUGCGAGCGUUACUCGGAAUUACUGGGCGUAAAGCGUGCGCAGGCGGCUUCGCAAGUCAGACGUGAAAUCCCCGGGCUUAACCUGGGAAUGGCGUUUGAAACUACGGAGCUGGAGUGUGGCAGAGGGAGGUAGAAUUCCACGUGUAGCGGUGAAAUGCGUAGAUAUGUGGAGGAAUACCGAUGGCGAAGGCAGCCUCCUGGGUCAACACUGACGCUCAUGCACGAAAGCGUGGGGAGCAAACAGG